rnacentral:lncRNA from 1 species
UGUAAGUGCCGGCUUUCCUUGACUGAUGGUUCCGGGAAAAAAAUUACUCACUGACUGGAAAUUGGUUGUUAUCUUUGAGAAAAGAAGCAUUUACUGCUUGGGGGAUUUAAGACUGGGUCCAAAAACUAUCAUCCCUAUUCUUGACAAAUGAUGACAUAUUUUAGAAGAUGGAUACAUCUUUGUUCAUAUAGACAACAUUUCCUGACAAAUCCGAAGAAGACCAAGUUUCUGUGCACACAGUUUGCAGUCUUGUGGGCUUCAUGGAUGCAGCCCUUGCCACCUCAGCACAGACUCCUCAAUCAUGACAUGAGAGGAUAAGCUUUCAGCAUCCAUCUUUGACUGGAACCAUUCCAGUGACAAGAGAGAUAAUUACAAUGGCGAGAAACCCAAUUGGAAACCUGGCUUCGUGGGCUGGGAUGCAGACAAAGCAUUGCAAUAGCCCAGUGCCUCUGUGAAGGCUGUAUUUCACAUCCCAACAACACGGGACAAAUUGCACAAACGCAAGGAAUUAGAUCCCUUGGUAACAAAUAUUGAAGUCACUUUUUAAAAUGUCACCAAAUGGCUCUGUUAACUCUGUUUUGUAACAAGUGAGAGGCAGAUGGCACUUUGAAGUGUAUGAUGCAUCUUGGAAGAGCAAAAUUGCUCAGGCAUUUUUGUCUAGUUUGCUAAGAUGGAGUGACGAUGCCCCAGAUGAAAGGCGCUGCUUGGCAUGCCCUCACACAAAAGGCUGAGUACCACUGAGUAUCACACUGUUCGCUGUAAGUUGGGUUUCCUGAAGGCUUACAAACUUGCUGAAUGAAAGUUGCAAAGCAAGGGGCUGCAGGGGGUGAGGGGUGAAAGUUCCCAUCUUCUAAAUGCCUACAAUGCUUUUCAUGUAGUUGGUGACAAUUAUACAGCUUAUUUAAUUCUCUGCAAUU